GGGUUCAUAGCUCAGGUGGUUGGAGCGCGCGCCUGAUAAGCGCGAGGUCGGUGGUUCGAGUCCACUUGGACCCACCA
rnacentral:tRNA from 1 species